AACGAACGCUGGCGGCAUGCCUAACACAUGCAAGUCGAACGAGACCUUCGGGUCUAGUGGCGCACGGGCGCGUAACGCGUGGGAACCUGCCCUUAGGUUCGGAAUAACUCCCCGAAAGGGGUGCUAAUACCGGAUAAUGUCUUCGGACCAAAGAUUUAUCGCCUUUGGAUGGGCCCGCGUUGGAUUAGCUAGUUGGUAGGGUAAAAGCCUACCAAGGCGACGAUCCAUAGCUGGUCUGAGAGGAUGAUCAGCCACACUGGGACUGAGACACGGCCCAGACUCCUACGGGAGGCAGCAGUGGGGAAUAUUGGACAAUGGGCGAAAGCCUGAUCCAGCAAUGCCGCGUGUGUGAUGAAGGCCUUAGGGUUGUAAAGCUCUUUUACCCGGGAUGAUAAUGACAGUACCGGGAGAAUAAGCUCCGGCUAACUCCGUG
rnacentral:rRNA from 1 species